GUGCCAGCGCCGCGGUAAUUCAGAGGUCCCGAGCGUUGUUCGGAUUUACUGGGCGUAAAGGGAGCGUAGGCGGUUCGGUAUGUCGAAUGUGAAAGCCCACAACUCAACUGUGGAAAUGCAUUCGAAACUGCCGGGCUAGAGUACUGGAGAGGAGAGCGGAAUUCUUGGUGUAGCGGUGAAAUGCGUAGAUAUCAAGAGGAACACCGGUGGCGAAGGCGGCUCUCUGGACAGAUACUGACGCUGAGGCUCUAAAGUUAGGGGAGCAAACAGG
rnacentral:rRNA from 1 species